rnacentral:lncRNA from 1 species
UGAGUUUGGGGUUGAGCGAAGGAAGACGACAGUGGAAGUGGAGAAGAAGACGGGGGGGUUAAUGGUGGUGCGGUGAUGUGUUUGAAGAUGGAGGGAGGUGAGUGAAGCUGGCGGUGGUGCAUCGGGUGGAGGCCAGUGACAGAUGGAUUUGUGUGAAGAAGAAGUGUUUUUUGUUUUUCUUCCUCUUGUAUUUCUUUUUUUGGCUUUCUUUUGUACCGUUGAGAGAGUGUGGAGAGAGGUAUUUGUUGGUCCGUGGAGAUGAAGCAGGUCC